rnacentral:lncRNA from 1 species
CCGUAACUGACACUCACACUCAGGGAGUCUGGGUCAGUCUUAUGCUGGUUCCCCAGUUAUCAGACUGGGGUCCAUGAAGCUCCAUGUGCUCAGGUCAUCUGUUUCUGUGGGUUUCCCCAGCAUGGUCUUGACCACUUUGCUCAUCAUUUCUCCCUCUCUACAACUGGAUUCCAGGAGUUCAGCUUUCAUCUAGCAGUUCGUGGAAGUAGAAGCAGACACCCACAGCCAAUCACUGAACUGAACUGGAAUCCAGUUGCAGAGAAGAACGAGUGAAGAGCAAAGGGGUCCAGGCCAGGCUGGUGAAACCUGAAGAAACAGGUGAACUGAACAUCAGGGAGCUUUUGGUCCCCAGACUGAUAGCUGGGAUACCAGCAUGGGACUGAUCCAGACCCCAGGAUCAUGGGUUUCAAUGAGGACAUAGCUUACAAGUAUUGACUGACAUCUGGGGAACCUGCAUGGGAGUGAACUAGACCCUCUGAAUGUGAGCAACAGUAAUUUGGCUUGAUCUAUUGGGGGGGCUGUCAGUUGGAUCAGGACCUCUCCUGGGGGCAUGAGCUGGCUUUUAGGAUUUCAUUUCCUAUGGUGGGGUACCUUGUUCAGCCUUGCUGUAGUGGGGAGGGGCUUGG